AAUGUUUGUUUCAGUAUCAGUGCUUCCCAAUUCUAUUGAUACAAAUAUAUUUCAUCAAAAAUACGUUAAGCUAUAUAUCUAAUUGUAAAUGUCAUGCUUCACUUCGGUUUCAUCACGCGAGUUUUAAAAGUUUGUGUUGGGAUUAUUUUGUAUGUGCGAAUAAAGGUGCGAAAAAAUGGGAAGUGAAAUUAUCAGAAAAAGUGUAAAGUUAGCAUCGAUGCUGAAUACCCGCAUAAACGCGGAAAAACUUUUAUCUAAAAUAUCUGAAGUUUCGCUCGAUGCUAAUUAUUUGCUUUUCACACGUUUUUUGUGCGAAUGUUUCGAUACAAUAUUGGGAGUGGGGAAUAUUGUAUCAGUUAGGAUUCUUUGGUGCCGACACGCGUUACUCCGGAUUGCUGGAGAAACAAUCGAAACGCGAUGUGCAUUUGGACACGAGAAAGAGGAUGUGGGUGAGCCAAAAUCUCCUCUCACAUCUCCAUAAUAAGUAAGCAUCGUUCUAUUAUUUCUAUAUAAAUAACUCGAAUAAUGAACUCGGUUUAGCUAAUUUUUAAUAAUAAAUUGUAGAAGGAAAUGUUUGUCAAAGAGUCACUACGUUAGUGUAUUCUCUCUCCGCAGAUUCGGAGGCGACGCGCGAAAAAAGAGCCAGAAGCAGGACCAGCGCGUAAGUAAUAUCUUACUAAUAACUAAAAAACUAGACAGGAAUAAUAUUAAAAAUAUAAUUUUUUGCAAUUUUCUAAGAUUAAAAUAUUAAAUGGUUUUAGGAAGGGUACGUAUUGAAUUAAUGCAGGAAUUAGAGGAGGAGGCACCUCGAGAAAUUAUUCAGCUCUCCUCUGAUACGGAAGUAAGUACUCUCGAUCCGCGUGUGUUUUCGCCUUAAUACGUAUUUUCAUCAUAUGUAUUCUCCCGUAAUCCCGGAAGAGAGAGGCGAUGAAGAAUACG